UACAGAGGUGGCAAGCGUUGUUCGGAAUUACUGGGCGUAAAGGGCGCGUAGGCGGCUUGGUCAGUCCCGUGUGAAAUCCCUCAGCUCAACUGGGGAACUGCGUCUGAGACUGGCCGGCUUGAGUGCAGGAGAGGAACGCGGAAUUCCAGGUGUAGCGGUGAAAUGCGUAGAUAUCUGGAGGAACACCGGUGGCGAAGGCGGCGUUCUGGACUGCUACUGACACUGAGGAACGAAAGCCAGGGGAGCAAACGGG
rnacentral:rRNA from 1 species